UACGUAGGGUGCGAGCGUUGUCCGGAAUUAUUGGGCGUAAAGAGCUUGUAGGCGGUUUGUCGCGUCUGCUGUGAAAAUCCGGGCUCAACCCCGGACUUGCAGUGGGUACGGGCAGACUAGAGUGUGGUAGGGAGACUGGAAUUCCUGGUGUAGCGGUGAAAUGCGUAGAUAUCGGGAGGAACACCUGUGGCGAAAGCGGCGCACUGGACCAUAACUGACGCUGAUGCGCGAAAGCUAGGGGAGCAACAGG
rnacentral:rRNA from 1 species